UGGGGAAUAUUGGGCAAUGGAGGGAACUCUGACCCAGCGACGCCGCGUGCGGGAUGAAGGCCUUCGGGUUGUAAACCGCUUUCAGCAGGGAAGAAGCGAAAGUGACGGUACCUGCAGAAGAAGCACCGGCUAACUAUGUGCCAGCAGCCGCGGUAAUACAUAGGGUGCAAGCGUUGUCCGGAAUUAUUGGGCGUAAAGAGCUCGUAGGUGGUUCGUCACGUCGGAUGUGAAAAUCUGGGGCUUAACCCCAGACCUGCAUUCGAUACGGGCGAGCUAGAGUGUGGUAGGGGAGACUGGAAUUCCUGGUGUAGCGGUGGAAUGCGCAGAUAUCAGGAGGAACACCAAUGGCGAAGGCAGGUCUCUGGGCCAUUACUGACACUGAGGAGCGAAAGCGUGGGGAGCGAACAGGAUUAGAUACCCGGGUAGUCCCUGAGCGGGCUGGCAAGGCGCAU
rnacentral:rRNA from 1 species